CCCCUCCCCCGAGAAUGUCUGUAGUGUGAGGCCCUCCCCUAUAGCACUGGCUAAUAGGCUGCUCCGAGCUAUGCAGCUGGGACACAAAAGACUUAAAAUCUCUAGCUACAGCUGCCCAGAGUGUGUUGGUGGGAGAGGACAAACUAAAUCCCUGUUUUCACUCCUUCCCCCCAAAUGGAGCUCACAUAAAGCCUUUAAACCAUCAGCUUUUAUCUGUUUUUAGUGUCCAAUUUAGGGCUUUGCAGGGGCUCCCUCCAGGGCUCUCUCAAUGGAUUUAUAUCACAGCCAGAUAGCAUCUUCGAAAGCUCAUCUGAGCUGGAAAAUAGAGAAACAUCCUUCUCCAUUGUCAAGUGACAAGCGAUGGUACCCAGGCUGCUGACUCUUCAAUCCUGCAAAUCUUGAAACAAAGACUUCCCUGUCCUCUCGGCUUGUCACCUGUAGGCAUGAAGAUGUCAGCUCCCUGGCCAACCACCAGGUGCCGGGACCUCAGGAGGUUUCCAGAAUGAAGGAAUCUGUGUCUAUGUCUGCUGUCCAGGCCUGCAGCGAAGUGGUGACCAGUGGAGAGGCCAGGUGGUGUAGGGGCUGCACCCAGCUUGCUGCUCGGUAUAAAAUGGAAAUUUGGAGCUGUUUGCAGGUCUUCUCACCCCCACACUGAGAAGGGAGCAGGCAGACUUUGCGCCUGAAGACAAGAACA